rnacentral:lncRNA from 1 species
GUGCUUUGGAGAUCGAAGUGAGUGCUCGAGUGGUUCCUGCUCUGAGACUCCCUUUCUUUUUCAGGCAGGGUGAAAGAACACAACACCGCAACAGCAGAAGUCACAAAGAGCUGCGUUUACCAACAGAGAAGCUCCACAGGUCACAAGUCGCAGCAUGGGGAACGUUCACAAAGGACAGACGUGUAAAUACUCUGAGUACAUCUGCCUGGAAAGACCCGGAAGAGCCCCCCAGCACGGAGGCUUGGGGAAUCUUGUAUCUCUUCUUUGAGGAAGAGACAGAGACGUGGCCUGAUGAAGGAGCCCUUUGCUGACCGUCUGACUCAGCUUCACUACGAGAGACUGAAGCAGUGGUGAUGAGGAGACCCCAUCGACGUCAGGACGAAGCUAAGGAGAGCCGGACACCCAUCCAGCUGAUCAACGAGCAGGUCAUGGGGGACAGCAGCAAAACAUGCGAGUUUCCCAGCAGAGAUUUUUCUUUCUCUGAGACCAGCACCAUCAUCGCCACUAGAUCUGAUGGAGUCCGGACUAACUUCUUCAACUUCAGAAAGGAGAAAAGAAUCGUCAUACCCACACCUGUCCAUGUCAUAUAA